UACGGGGGGGGCAAGCGUUGUUCGGAAUUACUGGGCGUAAAGGGCUCGUAGGUGGCCAACUAAGUCAGACGUGAAAUCCCUCAGCUUAACUGGGAAACUGCGUCUGAUACUGGAUGGCUUGAGUUUGGGAGAGGGAUGCGGAAUUCCAGGUGUAGCGGUGAAAUGCGUAGAUAUCUGGAGGAACACCGGUGGCGAAGGCGGCAUCCUGGACCAAUACUGACGCUGAGGAGCGAAAGCCAGGGGAGCAAACGGG
rnacentral:rRNA from 1 species